rnacentral:lncRNA from 1 species
AUGGCUCUAUCAGCUGAAGAUCAGCAGUAUCAACUACAAACUUCUCCGUCAAAGCUAAUUUUCCAGUCUCCCUGGAGAAGAUUGGUUGUGUACACAUUCCUCUCCAGGCACCUGCACAGGAUGUGGGCACACUCAAGGACAGGAAGGCUUUCUGUUCCCCAAACAUGCAGGGGUACUCUAAUCCCAGGAACAAUGAGGGUCAGAUGGACCUUUCUGGGCCCUCCAACUGAGCACGUGAUAUUCUUCCCCUCAAAGCUGCAGCUUCUGGCAUUGUCUGGCACUGACAUUCACUUGGUGCUGCUGCUUCAGGAGAAAGGAAUUGUUUUUGAGGAGGCGAAAAAAAGCCCUCUGCCUUGGAUGAGGAUGUUCGGUGGGCCACCAUCUAACCAAGGCAGAAAAGAGAAUUUUGGCUAUUUUACUAGGGAAUUCCUGGCAUAAUGCAAAAGCCCAGACAGUGCAGUGACUAUAAAUCCUUGGGCAGUGAAUCACAACAUGUGUUCAGUGCAGCUCUACUGGACAUGCAGGGACUGGAAGACAUCUAAGACCAGAAGAUGAUUAUGCUUUGUUUGCUAUUCAGAUACACAGUGCCUGUGUAAUAAAAUUUCAUAUUCUAGGUGUAUUGGAAUUGUU